rnacentral:rRNA from 1 species
GUGCCAGCCGCCGCGGUAGUACGUAGGCGGCAAGCGUUGUCCGGAAUUAUUGGGCGUAAAGGGCUCGCAGGCGGUUUCUUAAGUCUGAUGUGAAAGCCCCCGGCUCCACCGGGGAGGGUCAUUGGAAACUGGGAAACUUGAGUGCAGAAGAGGAGAGUGGGAAUCCACGUGUAGCGGUGAAAUGCGGAGCGAUGUGGAGGAAACCCAGUGGCGAAGGCGACUCUCUGGUCUGUAACUGACGCUGAGGAGCGAAAGCGUGGGGAGCGAACAGGAUUAGAUACCCUGGUAGUCCACGCCGUAAACGAUGAGUGCUAAGUGUUAGGGGGUUUUCGCCCCUUAGUGCUGCAGCUAACGCAUUAAGCACUCCGCCUGGGGAGUACGGUCGCAAGACUGAAACUUAAAGGAAUUGACGG